UGUACUCCUUAAAGGUCUUAAACUUCUCAUGUCCCCUUUAGAGAGCAGACAGGAGGGCUGGCAGAGGGUGGGAAUCAUGUGGCCAUAGGAACAUGUUUUACCCACCUUUACAGUUAGGCCAGGAGUCCCUAGGGGUCCCAGGGAAAGGCCUGAGGGUCCUGGGGAGAAGGUGUCUGGAAAUGCAGGAAGAGGGCCUCCUGGGCAGGUGCAGCUAAACAUCUUCCAAGGGCAGCCUGAGCCCAGGGAACAGAGUGUGGGCAUGAUUAUGCCAGGGGAAACAAGCCUUGGGAAGAUGCUGGUUUGGCAGGUAGAGCUGCUGGAACUGGGACAUCCAGCCUUCUGCACAAGGUCUGGCUCUGGGGCUCAAGACCUUCCUGCUUCCUUCCUUUUCCAGAAUCCCUCCUUGCACAGAGCAGUAGCAGCUCUUGGGCUGCGCUGGCUGGGACUAUGGGAAGGCAGAAACUGGCUUGGCAGAACCCAGGGCUGAGAACAAUGGUGACAGGUAGCGUGGCCAAGGAUCACCCUGACCAGAACACUCCUCUCAACAAGCACUUCAUCACCUGGUCCCCUUGACCACAGCCGCUAUUUGAGGCCCAUUGUUGGCUUCAAGACAUCUGAUGUCACAGUGGACAAUAAGCUGUUGCCAGUGGCAAAGGAGGGGUCAAAAGUUGCACCCAAACUUUGGACCACCUGCUCCCCACCUUCAGCUUACAGUGCACUGGGCCAAACAAAGACCUAUGUCAAGUGUAGUUUUUGGAUGGGAUGCUGGAACACAGCCAGCACGGACUCCAGAGGUGGCUAAGGGUCAAAGAGGAAAAAAGGACCUUUCUGAGGUGAUGAAAAGCUGGUAUCUUGAUGAGAUGGUGGUUACAUCAUACACAUCUGCCAAAACCCACUUAAUGCUUCAAAUCGAUACAUUUAUUAUCCUGUACUUUAUGUCUCAAUGAAAAUUAUUAAAAGAAAAAACAAAACCGACUGAGUCAGCCCACCAGUCUUCUACAGCAAGACCCUAAGACAAAAGAUCAGCCUCUGCCCCACGACUCUGCAGCAGGUAGCCUCCACUGCCCCCUGAUUCCAAAUGCUGGGCACUGGGAAAAUCCACGGGAUUUGAAAUUCCAUAGGAAUAAGUCUAUCUACUUAGUUUCAAAAGGUUCACAGAAAGACGAAAUUAAAGUGUGAAUUUAUUUUGGUGUAAAAAAAAAUUAAAAUGCAUGAAGUUUUUUCAUAAUACACAUAUUCAAUGAACUUUCUGAAGCCUCCUGACUCUUUAAUAUUAUUUACAUUUUCACAGGUUCUGCCAAGGUUCAGGAUUUUGAAAGCCCUGCCCUGUACGGAUCCACAAGUGCAGGGAUCCAUGGGUCCCAACAGACCAUUUUGUCCCCCACUAUUGAUGAGCAACCUAAGUCUGAAUUGUCUACAAUGUCCACAGUUCCAUGGUCCCCUUUUAAUGGAUAUGCUAUUAAACACAAGUUCCUGUCUUCGUCUUCUUCAAAACGCACGGAUACUACACCUGGAAGGCGGUUUCUAUGUUGCCAGAGGCCCCAAACUCAUCUGCAAACCUAACAAAUAUCAAAACAGCUAGAAAAGAUGACACCACACAAGACAAGCGAUUAGGGAGCAGACAUGGCCGAGAGUCUUCCUCUCUGAUGCACUCAACAAGGCAAGAACCAAAGAAUUACAAGACACAUUUUUCUGUCAUUGAAAAUGUUUAUUAAUAUUUAUGUAACCCUUCUAAUCCCAAGAGAGAUGUAAAAACAUUGCUCUUUAUAUUGUAUGGGAAUUCUUAACACCCUACACAGAAACACCGACGGCCUUGAGGCCUGCUUUAAAGCAGAGCCCGACGCAAGGGGAACACCAGUUUGCCUAGGUGUGAGACGCAUCCCGUGGUAAGGGAAGAGUGGGUAAGCAAAGCAAAAUAAAGGGCAAACAAAACAGACCACACAGCACAACAGACACCCUAGCAAAGGCUUCCUGCAGUACCCCCAUAUGGGGAUUAGGGGUGCCCAGCCUUUUUUCCUUCUUAAAUAUGUUUUUAUUGGUCUUUGCAGUCUCAUGUCACAAAUGAAUAAAAUGAACGCAGGCAGGUGGGGCUGGGCGGGGAGCACGGACACGCGGUGGCCUUGAAAGCAGCUCUCACCCUCGAGUCUCUAGAACCUGCCAUGUGUAUAAUUAGACAGUCUUUCUGGAGAGGGCUGUCAGGCGGGACAUUUCAGCAGGUGCCGACGAGCGCCUUACAACAGACCGGCUGAACACCUCUCCUCCCAGGCCUCUUUGC